rnacentral:rRNA from 1 species
CCCGGCAGCUCAAGUGUUUUCCUUCAUUCUUUGGCCUAAAGCGUUCGUAGCCGGUUUGAUAAGUCUCUGGUGAAAUCCCGCAGCUUAACUGUGGGACUUGCUGGAGAUACUAUCAGACUUGAGGUCGGGAGAGGUUAGGGGUACUCCCAGGGUAGGGGUGAAAUCCUAUAAUCCUGGGAGGACCACCUGUGGCGAAGGCGCCUAACUGGAACGAACCUGACGGUGAGUAACGAAAGCCAGGGGCGCGAACCG